GAGGAGGUGGAGGUGGCCUAGGAGAGGGAGGCUUGGAGGGCUUGGUGGAAGGUGGAAAUUGUUGGAGGUGGUUUUUCCACUGUACCUCAGAACGAAGAACAGGAACAAGAACAUGAACAGGAACAGGAACAACACUGUCUCAAUCAUGGUGUGUUCACUGCAUCAACACUUCUGAUGUUAUCUUAUUUAUUCAGACCAAGAAGUGGAUUACGCAUAUUUCACAACGCAUGCGUCACACGCAUAAUAAUAUAUUAAGAAAAAUGAUUUUUUACACCCAUUUUUUCCUUUGCUCCAAAACAACUUUUUAAGUGUUGAUUACUUAUGUGAUAGGAGUAUUUUAAGCAUGAGACGAAUCUAAUUUGUCAAAUUAUCACAACUCAUAUAUUAAUAAUUUAAGAUUUAGUGACACCUUCACAAAGGUAAAAUUAAUUAAUUAAUUUAUUUAUUUGUGAGCUCUACUUGAGUUGGUGAAUUUUGUUUUGAAAAGGUUGCUUAAAUUUAGGUUUUGAGGAGGACAUUCAAGAAUUGCACCAAGGAUUUGUUUGCAAAUGGGGGCUUGAUGAGCAAAACAUGAAUCUAGAUGCUGUUUUGCAGGAUUUGAAGUUGAGAUGAUG
rnacentral:lncRNA from 1 species